UUAACUAACAUUGAACCCAAACUUUAUAUUAACACUUACUUAAACUUCAAACACCAAUAAUCUCUUAAACUCUAAACUAAAAAUCUGUUUUUAAAAUUAAUCUUAAGCAUCGAAUGAUAUAGCAGCAAAAAGUAAACAUAAAAGAAAAAAAAAAUCUAUUGGCCAAUACACUUUUCACAUGGAUCACCAUUCCAGCCGUUAGAUUGAGUUUCAAUCAAUGGACAAGAUUUUUUUUUGUUUUCUUUCUUCUUUCUCCUUCUCUCUUCAGAUCUACGGAUCUCUCAUCUCUCCAUCUUCUGUUCUUUUCUCUUUCAAAGUCCAUCUUCUCCAUAUUUGUUCUCCUCUGUUCUUCAUCAUCUUCUCCAUCUUCUGCUCACCACUUUCUUCACUGCUCGCCGUACUCUUUUCACCGCCUUGAGUUCGAGUCUGAUUCGAGACAUAUGAGGCACGCUGGCCGUCCCACCACCGCCACUUGGAGGAAAGGCGAGGUGGAAGUGGUGGUGCGGCGGAAGACGGAGUUCCAGUAGAUCUGGAAGAAGCUGGAGAAGAGGAGGCUUCAUGGGGAAGACGACGUCCACAUGGUGAAUCCUCGGAAGCUGCGUCGAAGGAGGCGCACGGAAGCUGUAGUGGGGGAGACCCUGAGGCCGGAAGCAGAGAUGACGGCAUCUCCGGUCAAGGAUAGAGAAGGCCAGGCGCACUGGUUGAGGAGGCACACAGGGCGGCUGGAGUUUUUUUUUUUUUUUUAGGUUUAGUGUUUUUUUUUGUUUAGGGUUUUCCGGUUUAGUGUAAACCGAAUUGGAUAAACCUUUGUGGUUUACUUUAUUUUUAUUUUUUCUGGUUUAGUUUUGUAAACCGAAAUUUAUUUAUCAUUAAAUUUUAUUUUAUUUUUAAUAUAAAAAAAAUUGGGUUUAAUUUUAA